CCCCAGGGGGUGAUUGCUUAUUUUCUGUCUCUCUGCAGCUACCAGUGCCAUGGAGAUAUUUCAAGUGGAAGGAAACUAUAGAUUGAUCGACGGCCCCUUUGACUACCAUGGUCUUGCCCUAGCUAAAGAGAGCUCACAGCCACCUCCAAGCUGGUCUCAUUGUCCAUGCGGAGUCUCCGUUGCCUCUUGUAGCCAGUUGUCUACUCUUUGAGAGAGGAGAAGGACUCACCACUACCCCUUCUCUCUGAAUGAGGUGUUUUGACUGGCUCUGGUCAUCUCUCAUGGGUUCCGCGAUGCGUGUGAUUUCUAAGCCAAAGUAUUUAAUCAUCAAGGUGAGACCCUUUGAGAUGUCUUU